rnacentral:rRNA from 1 species
AUUGAACGCUGGCGGCAGGCUUAACACAUGCAAGUCGAGCGGGGUGAUGGUGCUUGCACUAUCACUUAGCGGCGGACGGGUGAGUAAUGCUUAGGAAUCUGCCUAUUAGUGGGGGACAACAUCUCGAAAGGGAUGCUAAUACCGCAUACGUCCUACGGGAGAAAGCAGGGGAUCACCUGUGACCUUGCGCUAAUAGAUGAGCCUAAGUCGGAUUAGCUAGUUGGCGGGGUAAAGGCCUACCAAGGCGACGAUCUGUAGCGGGUCUGAGAGGAUGAUCCGCCACACUGGGACUGAGACACGGCCCAGACUCCUACGGGAGGCAGCAGUGGGGAAUAUUGGACAAUGGGGGGAACCCUGACCCAGCCAUGCCGCGUGUGUGAAGAAGGCCUUAUGGUUGUAAAGCACUUUAAGCGAGGAGGAGGCUCUUUUGGUUAAUACCCAAGAUGAGUGGACGUUACUCGCAGAAUAAGCACCGGCUAACUCUGUGCCAGCCGCCGCCGUAA